UGCUAGGGCGAUGUUGACAGACAGACCGAGGGGCGGAUGCAGCCUACCUCCUGGGCAGGGAGCUGCGGUCUGAGGCCCCUGCCCAGCUGGAAACCACAGGGAGGGGAAGGGAGGGGAGGGGAGGAGAGGAGAGGAGAGGAACCGUCAUGGGGCCUUGGAGUCGAGUCAGGGUUGCCAAAUGCCAGAUGCUGGUCACCUGCUUCUUUAUCUUGCUGCUGGGCCUCUCUGAGGCCACCAUAGUGACUCUUACCUACUUCGGGGCCCACUUUGCUGUCAUCCGCCAAGCGUCCCUGGAGAAGAACCCAUCCCAGGCUAUGCACCAAUGGGAGACUCAGCAGCGGCUUAUCCAACAUUCAGAGAGCGGGAGCAAGGGCCAGAGCCUGCUGGGGCCACUCAGGGCCUUCUCUGCGGGGUUGAGCCUGGUGGGCCUCCUGACUCUGGGAGCUGUGCUGAGCGCUGCAGCCACCGUGAGGGAGGCCCAGGGCCUCAUGGCGGGGGGCUUCCUGUGCUUCUCCCUGGCGUUCUGCGCACAGGUGCAGGUGGUGUUCUGGAGACUCCACAGCCCCACCCAGGUGGAGGAUGCCAUGCUGGACACCUACGACCUGGUAUAUGAGCAGGCGAUGAAAGUUUCUGUGCUGUGGGAAGAGGUCUCCUUUCAGCCGUCUGGGGAACACAGAGGCUGACCUGUGUCAGGGAGAGGAGACGGCAAGAGAGGUGAGGGGGGGACCUGGAUGCUGGCCAGGCAAGACCCUCGGGGGCUGGACACCCUGGGGCCCAACCCCAAGACUCAGGGCCAUCCUCCCACCCCACCCCUUGGCCUCCCCAGACCCUUGGGACCUGCCGCUGAAGGGCUCAGGGAAGGUUCUGGUGUGAUCGGAGGCUAGUUAGGGUUCAUGGUACACCAAGCCCAUCGGGUGGCCAGGCUGGGCUCAAGACAUAAACACAGGCCCCUUCGCCCAGCUGGAUGCAGGCCCCACGCGCCAUUCACUCCUUCAAGCCAGUUCCAGCCUGGGGACUUCCCAAGGCCAGCUGAGUCCACAGAAGCCUCUUGGAGUGCACCCAUGAGGGCUCUGUGCCAAGGGCUGCAGGGCUGGCGUGGUGGGCUCUGUCUAGGGGGAAGGGUGCAGGCGUCCUGAGGGGCAUCAGAAGGAGUUGAAGGGCACUCGGAGGAGGAGAAGCGAGGCUGGAGGGUCAGCAUAGGCCAGGGUGUGGCCAGGGCUUCAGCAACAACAGAGCGGGGCCCGAGGCCAGGAAGCCUUUCCUCCCCAGGGCCCUGGGAGAGAGACUGGGCCCUCCCCUCUUUCUCCUGGUGCCCGGCAGCCCUCCCCCAGCCCACCCUGCCCCCUCCCUGCUCCUCUCCCCGCUCCCCUCCCCUACUCUCCUGGAAACAAACCCACCCUAUCUCACAGUGGGAGGCACCUGGCGACCCUCCAAGAAACAGAGGGGAGGAGAGCAAAUGGCUGGAGGCCUGGUGAGGGGUGGAGCCACAGCCCAGGCUCUGAGGGCAGAAGGGCUGGCGCUGAGGACGGUGGUGGGGAGGGACCAGCGGCAUCGGGGGCAGGGCUAACAGUCAGGACCCCUGUGCCAUCCAAGGAGAGACCCCAGGUCCCCCGACUGAAAAGCAGGAGCGAGGGCCUGCCUCGAGCACCCUUGGGAUGGCAGGCCCAUGGGCCCGACUGCACAGCCUCCUGGGAAGCCCAAAGAGUCAGCACAGGCAGCAGGCACGGAGCCACCCAGAUGGGCAGGCAUGGGCCAGGGGGAAGCAGACCUGCCUGCGGGGGACAGGAGGGUGAGCCCUGAGACCCUGCGGAGGCCUCCACAGCCCGCCCCAGUUGCCACCAUCUCCAGGGUUCAGAGACAGACCUGCCACCUCCCUUUUCUGGAAAGAUGCCUCUGGGUGCCAUGCCCUGGGGUGGCACUGGAAGCCCAGGAUGGAACCAGGAACCUGGGACCGUGCGGGGACCCCCCUCACACCCCUCCACCAGCUGGCUUCCUGCCCUCCCUGUUAGCCAUCACCCUCUGGUCAUCAAGGCGCUGUGCCCGGCCCUGGGCUGGAUGCUGGGAACCCAGAGUGAAUUAGAAGUGGCCUGGCCCAGGGGAGCCAACGUGUGGCCCAACAUGGACGCUCAGGACAGCUGGGAGACGGCACCGGCUGGGCCUAGGGCAGUGCCUGGGUGCCCGCAGAGGCCCCCUGUCCCAUUGGGCUGCACCUGCUUGUGCUGCCUUUCCCUAGAGCCCUGGGGGCUUCCUAGGAAUGUGCUGCACCCGCUGCCCUGCUGCCCUGGCAUUGGCCUAGGUGGGCGCUGCAGCUCCAUGGCCCCACAAAGGCCGCUUGUCCAGGCAGGGAGGGCCACUCAGGGCGGGUGCCAUUCCUGCUGCCCUCUCGCAGGACUGCCUUCAGGGCAUCCGGAGCUUCCUGAGGACAUACCAGCAGGUCACCUCCAGCCUGACCAGCAUCGGCCUGGCCCUCACGGUACCCUCUCGCCUCCCUCACCGCCCCUUCCCACCUCCUACCCCUCAGCGUGCCCAGCCCCUGACUCAGAUGGAAGGGUGACCUGGGACAGGAUUUCUGGUCUUGGGCCUCACUGGCUGCCAACCUCAGGGAGCUGGUCUGGUGUGACAGUGCCUGCCUCCUACAGCUGGGCCGCCCCCUUACACUGCAGAGUCCUGAUGCUUCCUGGGGAUGGGCGCCCCCACCCAGGAGUAGGGGGGCAGCCGCGGGUGUCUCCCUCCCAGGUGUCCGCCUUGCUCCUCAGCUCCUUCCUGUGGUUUGCCAUCCGCUCUGGCUGCUGCUUGGACCGCAAGGGCAAAUACACCCUGGCCCCACGAGCAUGUGGCCACCAGCCCCAGGAGCCCAGCCUCUUCAGACGCUCCCAGGGUGGACCCGCACAUUGUCUCCGCUCCGAAGCAGAUGCUAUUGGUCCAAGAGGAUGCUCGGGUAGUCUUCGGUGGCUGCAGGAGAGCGAUGCUGCGCCUCUGCCCCUCUCCUGCCACCUGCCUGCCCACAGAGCUCUCCAGGGGAGAAGUCCCGGUGGGCUCAGCGGGUGCCCUGCGCGGGGUCUCUCAGACUGACGUCAGGCCUUGGUGGGCUGUACUCUCAUCUGGAAGCUCCGCGGAAGCAUCUGCCUCCAGGACCAUUCAGGCUGUUGACAAGUCAACUCCUCAUGGCUGUAGGACUGAUGUUCCCAUAGUCCUUGUCCCUGCUCCUGUGGCCCCUCCACCUUCAAACCAGCGAUGGUGCAUUGAGCAAAUCGUGGUCAAAUAUACAUCACAUAAAAUUUACCAUCUUAACCAUUUUUAAGUGUAUGGUUUGUGGCAUUAAAUACAUUCACGUUGUUAUGCAACCAUC
rnacentral:sRNA from 1 species